rnacentral:rRNA from 1 species
AACGAACGCUGGCGGCAUGCCUAACACAUGCAAGUCGAACGAGACCUUCGGGUCUAGUGGCGCACGGGUGCGUAACGCGUUGGAACCUGCCCUUAGGUUCGGAAUAACUCCCCGAAAGGGGUGCUAAUACCGGAUAAUGUCUUCGGACCAAAGAUUUAUCGCCUUUGGAUGGGCCCGCGUUGGAUUAGCUAGUUGGUAGGGUAAAAGCCUACCAAGGCGACGAUCCAUAGCUGGUCUGAGAGGAUGAUCAGCCACACUGGGACUGAGACACGGCACAGACUACGACGGGAGGAAGCAGUGGGGAAUAUAGGAAAAUGGGCGAAAGCCUGAUCCAGCAAUGACGCGUGAGUGAUGAAGGCAUUAGGGUUGUAAAGCUCUUUUAACAGGGAUGAUAAUGACAGUACCGGGAGAAUAAGCUCCGGCUAACUCCGUG